GAGUUUGAUCAUGGCUCAGGAUGAACGCUAGCGGCAGGCCUAAUACAUGCAAGUCGAACGGGAUCGGGGCCUCCGGGCCCUGUGAGAGUGGCGCACGGGUGCGUAACGCGUAUGCAACCCACCCCGACCUGCGGGAGAGCCGGUGGAAACGCCGGGUGAUACCGCAUGAGGCCGCGUCCGGGCAUCCGGGUGCGGCGAAAGCAGCGAUGCGGGCCGGGACGGGCAUGCGUUCCAUUAGCUAGUCGGCGGGGUGACGGCCCACCGAGGCCACGAUGGAUAGGGGAUCUGAGAGGACGGUCCCCCACACUGGUACUGAGACACGGACCAGACUCCUGCGGGAGGCAGCAGUAAGGGAUAUUGGGCAAUGGGGGGAACCCUGACCCAGCCAUGCCGCGUGAGGGAGUGAGGCCCUACGGGUCGUGAACCUCUUUUGGAGGGGGAUAAGGCGGGGCGCUAGACGCCCUGUUGCAGUACCCUCCGAAUAAGCAUCGCA
rnacentral:rRNA from 1 species